rnacentral:lncRNA from 1 species
UAACAAGAGCAAGUUCUGGUAGAAAGGUGACUUUAUUCUAGAGCUCAGGUGUUUGAACUGAUGUCUGAUGAGGAUGAAUCCAGCGACUACCUCUGCCUGUCCAUCCUGGGCCUCUUCUGUUGCCUUCCCCUAGCCAUCCCAGCCGUGAUCUUUUCUUGCCUGACAAAGAACUACAAUAACUCCAGCGACUAUGAGCUGGCAGCCAAGACCUCCAAACAAGCCUACUACUGGGCCAUCACGAGCAUCACUGUGGGAAUCUUAGGUAUCAUCUGGUACACCUACCUGAUAUACUUACUUAUAUUGUAAACUGCUUCCCAGCUCUUGAACAAACCACCAAAUAUACACCACAGUGCAAUUUA